rnacentral:rRNA from 1 species
UACGAAGGGGGCUAGCGUUGCUCGGAAUUACUGGGCGUAAAGCGUGCGUAGGUGGUUUGUUAAGUCUGUUGUGAAAGCCCCGGGCUCAACCUGGGAAUGGCAAUGGAUACUGGCAAGCUAGAGUGCGGUAGAGGGUAGUGGAAUUCCCGGUGUAGCGGUGAAAUGCGUAGAGAUCCGGAGGAACACCAGCGGCGAAGGCGGCUUUCUGGUCUGAUACUGACGCUGAGGCACGAAAGCGUGGGGAGCAAACAGG